rnacentral:lncRNA from 1 species
GGGCCCGUUCAGCUUCCGUGGAGCCGUCGGCAGCCGCUGCCGGGCCUUUCCUUGAUCCCUGAAUCCCCUACUCGGUCGUCUAGAACAAUCCCGGGCCCACUUCCUCUAUCAACAACCCAACCCUACUUCCGGCUUUCGCGCCCUCUUAUCGCGAUAGCGCCCGGGCUCGGGGCGCGAGGAAAGAGGAAAAAAAAAAAAAAAAAAGGCGGCGGGCGGGCGCUCGCCUCUCUCUCCCCCCUCCUCGCCUGUCGCGAUACGCUCCGCAGCGGCGGCGCCAGCUCCUGCGGUGAGCGUCAGGUUCGACUGGGCCGGACCCCUUUCCCUCUUCCCUCAGCUCCAUCGGCCGACUUCUUGCUCCGCGACCCUGCUGCCUGUCGCGACACGGCCUCAGCUCCCGCCGGGCCCAAGCCGCGCGCUCGGGCCCAGCUUCGGCUCGGGCGGGCGGGGACCCUCUCCUCUCUCUGUCCUCCCGCGUCCGGACUCCCGCGUGGCAGAGCGCCGGCCCCGGGUGCGAGGUGCCCGUCCUCCUCCGCGUCUGGCUGGGCUUGGAGCGGUGGGCGCGCUGCGGGCCGCGGAGGGGUCUUUCUGCUCUGGGCGCGGGGCCCACUCCUGCAGUCAUGCCUUCCCCGGGAGCUCCAUUCGGGAGCGUUGCCUCAGUGCACCCGAAAGCUCCAGCUUGUUGGUGUCUUGAUAGGGGGAAGCCUCUUUGGAAGAGAUGGAUCUUGUGGAGGAAAAAGUCCCCAAGACCCGAGGGUGCAGUUAACGUUGUGAGUUGGAGCCUAAGCCAAAGUUUCCACCUAGUCCUUACAGCUCUAGCAGUGAAGUCUCCUAGAGGUCCCUUUCCACCAAUCUUCUUUUUAAGGAAGCAUGGGGUUUGUGAGUGUGUGUGUGUGUGUGUGUGUGUGUGUGUGUGUGUUUUGUUUUAACACUCCCUCCCCAAACCUUGGAUUCAGGACUGUACCGUAUUGCUCACUUCCUGGCUUCACAUCUUUUGCAUCUUUGAGGUGGGGUAUCAGUGGACUCUAGCUUUGGGGAUGCAGGCUCCACUACGAUGCACGGUCUGCCUCGGUGGGUGAAGCUUCCUAAGUGGUUAGGUAUUGCUGUGUGUGGUGAGGACCGCUUAGCUUUUCUUUCUAGAUCUGGGUCGGUGGAAUGCGAGCUCCCAUGCUUUCAGUUGUUGGUGCUCUUCUGUUGGGACAGUUGAAGCACUUCUAAACAGCUGUAUCUCGGUUCCGGGACUGUCAUCCCUCUUAGGAUUAGCUUUCUGUUCUUUUGGCUAGGGGCUUCCUCACCGUCUCCCUUCCCCGGUCAUCACCUGGACUGCCAUCUCUCUGUAUUUCCAUUCUCAUCUGCCCAGCCUAUGUGGAUAUGUGAUCUUUUAUAAUUGAAAUCCACUGGGUGAAAGCGUUUCAGAGGUAGAAUGGUCCAUCUCACCCAACUGGCACCCUGUAGGACUGCUAGCUCUCCUCACCGGAGUCUUCUGCUGUGUAAGGGGUAGCCUUUCUCCCUGCAGUUGUGUUGUCUUUGUCGGGUAGGUGUUGUCACCUGCCAGGUAAAGUCCCUGCCUUCUUUGCUAUUGGCAUCAUCCCCUUUCUUGCGUUUGAGAUGGCCACACCACCUAUGUACCCAGUGUGAGGCUAGGAUACUCUUGGGUGUGGGUGCCCCUGGCUAGUGUGACUCCUCCUUUGUGGUUUUUCUGUGAAGUUAUGGUUUCUUGUUCUGUGUCUGAGACCUGGGUGAGAGACCACUGUGGUCACUUUGCUUGGGACUAAAGAGCAUAAGGGGUGACUUUUCAAGGUGUCAGUUUCUCCUUACCUUGGUUUUUGGGCCUCUCUAGGGGAAACAGUUACUUCUAAGCAGGGUCUACUUUAUUUACCUCAGAGAAUCUUCCUGUGGCAGUGCCAGCAUCCUCUCCACUAGGUUCAAGUUCCACUUUGAGUGCUGCUUGCCACCAUCCCUGGCUUCAGUGUGAGCCCUCUUAGCCCUGUGCUAUGCUCCAAGAUGCUUCUGUGGUCACUUAGCAGUACCAGGCUUCAAAAUUAAGGUUGUACCCCUUCAUCAGGUCUCUGAAUGAUGGCUUGGCACCUGUGGUGAGAAGUUCUAUAGAUUGUUCUGUUGUUGGCUCCUAUUUUGAGUACUUGAUUUGAGGAUUUGCUACAGCUGUGGACAGAUGAUCCUAAUGAUUUUGCUUCCACAGACGCCCAGCUUCCUCCAUGCUGUUUGAGACCCUUCACCAUCUAUACAUGUAUUCUGUGUGAAGGUGUUUGCUUACCUCACAAGGGCCCUGUAGUGAUGGCCUCCUCGAGCAGGACCUGGGAAGUGGGAUGGGCAGUCUUCUGUGGUGGCACCUCUACUUUGAGGCUCUAGCACUUGCCUCUGUUUGCAGAACUUGUGCAGUCUAUGCACCUUCUCCUUGUGAAGUGGGGCUUGGUUUUGUUUUGUUGUAUGUGGAGAGAAGGUAUUGCCUCCACUCUGGCUGUGGCUCCAGCCUCUAAAACACAAAGUCCUGGCUCUGUGGGCCUUGUUCUACUCAGGAGCCUUUUGCCAGUCACACAUUGUCUUCUUUAAUCACAGCUGUGCCCGUAUUGAUGGCUGAAGUAUUACAUCUGCUUGGUUUUUUUAAUUUUUAAAUUUAUUUUUAGUCUACAUGCACUUUGCCUGCACACAUGUAAGUACACUGUAUAUGUGCUGUACCCGAGAAGGCUAUUUUGUCCCCUGGGGCUGGAGUUAUAGACAGACAGUUGUGAGUUGCUAAAUCUUGUUUUUUGUAUGUUCAUGUGUCCCUUGGCAGAUAUGUGGGGGUCAGAGAAACACUUUGAGAAGUUAUUCUUGUUUUCACUAUUUGGCACCCAGGGAUUGAAUCAAGACCACCAGACUUCAUAGCAACCACCUUUACCUACUCAGCUGUCUCACUGGCCCUUAAUUAUUUUUUAUUACAUUUAUUUAUUUAUUUAUUGAGUCUAUGUAGUUCUGGAUGGCCUGGAACUCACUAUGUAGACCAAGCUAGCUAGAGGUCUGUCUGCCUCCACCUCCCAAGUGCUGGGAUUAAACGUGCUGGACCAACAUACAUUUAUUUGUUUACUUGUUUAUUAGAGUGUUAAGAAAAAGAGAGAGAGAGUGUGUCUACUCAGGUGCUUUUGCCCAUGUAUACACAUGCCAGGAGCAUACAUGUGGAUUGUAGAGGCCACCUGUUGAGAGUUGGUUUUACACGGUUUACCAUGUAAAUCCUGGACAUUGAAUUUUGUCAGGCUUGAUGGCAAGAAAAUAUGCUGAACCUACUCACUGGCCCUUUGUUGCCCCUGUUUUUGGGUGCCUUGCUUCUGGUCCCUUUAGAACUUCUGUCAUUUGUUGUUGUUGUUGUUGUUGUUGUUGCUGUGGCUUAUUGCUCUUGCUGCAAGCCUGUGUCACCGCUUCCUCUGUGUUGCAGUCCCAGCCACUUUGUGGAGCGUGGAUAAGGCCUCACCUUACUUAAGGUGGCAGUGCCUGCCCAGAACCCUCCUACAGGCUCUUGGGACAAAGUGAGCAGUGUAAUAAGCUCUUGUUUAACAUUCUUUCCUUCCCUGCUAUAAAAAGAGGCUUCUCUGUGCUGAUGGAUAUUAGAGCCAAGACUCUAGAGUCAAGAUCCUGAAUACCUCCUGCAGGGUCCCUAGAUCAGGGGUACUUAGUCUACUUCAGUCUCCUCUAUGGGGCUCUUUGCUGAGUUCUUUUGAUGGUUGCUUCAUCUUCCUGGAAAUUGCCUGCUGUAUGGUGUGUCAGCUAAUCCUCUGUUGAGAGUGCUGUGUGCGUGCUCUCUCUUUUUGAUAGAUCCUAAAGAUAUUUAAGUCCCCACAGUUUGAGGUGCCACCCAUAGCUACCUCCCCACAAAGUGGGACCCUACAGAGUUAAUUUUUUAAAUCCCUUUUCAGAGAAGGCACUAGCCCCAUCCACUGUAGGUAGGCCUCUUUUUCUGAAUCUGCUCCCUAAUGCAGUAUCCCAUGCUAUGAUUAGUAUAAGUGAAAAUACUGAGCCAAGCAUGGCAGUACACUCUUGUAACCUCAGCGUUUGGGAGGACAAAGUAAGAAUGUGAGUUUAAAAGUCAUCCUGAGUUAUAUACUGAGAUCCUAUUUAGGAAAAGGAAAGAUUUUAUUUUUUUUCCUGCUGUGCUGGUGCAUGCGGUGGCUGGCUGAAACAUUUUCCAGCUAGCACCUCUGUUAAGACUGUUGUGGAGGGGUUGGGGAUUUAGCUCAGUGGUAGAGCGCUUGCCUAGCAAGCCCAAGGCCCUGGGUUCGGUCCUCAGCUCCAG